UGUAGGCUGAAACUCGCCUACAUGAAGCUGGAGUUACUAGUAAUCGCAGAUCAGAAUGCUGCGGUGAAUGCGUUCCCGGGUCUUGUACACACCGCCCGUCACACCACGGGAGUUGGAGACGCCCGAAGCCGAUUAUCUAACCUUUUGGAAGAAGUCGUCGAAGGGGGAAUCAAUAACUGGGGUGAAGUCGUAACAAGGUAGCCGUAUCGGAAGGUGCGGCUGGAUCACCUCCUUUCUAAGGAGA
rnacentral:rRNA from 1 species